GAUGAAGAACGUAGUGAAAUGCGAUAAGUAAUGCGAAUUGCAGAAUUCAGUGAAUCAUCGAAUCUUUGAACGCACAUUGCGCCCAUUAGUAUUCUAGUGGGCAUGCCUGUUCGAGCGUCAUUAAUUCCACUUAAGCCCUGCUUAGUGUUGGGAAUCUACUCUAGUGGUGCUACCCUGGAGCUACCCCUGAAAGGGGGCUGGCCCGGUAGCUACCCUGUAGUUCCUCAAAGAUAGUGCGCGGAGUUGCGUGGUCCUCUGAGCUUAGUAACUAUACACCUAGCUUUUGAGUGUCCCGCGGCGCCUGCCGUUUAAACCCCAUCUUUUAAUGGUUGACCUCGGAUCAGGUAGGAAUACCCGCUGAACUUAAGCAUAUCAAUAAGCGGAGGA
rnacentral:misc_RNA from 1 species